rnacentral:ncRNA from 2 species
CCAAUAGCGUAUAUUAAAGUUGUUGCAGUUAAAAAGCUCGUAGUUGAACUUCGGGAUUCACCCAUUGGUCAGGCUUAAUUGUCUGUACUGGUGAGAUGAGUCUCUACCUUCUGAGGAACUUUCAUGCCAUUUGUUUGGUGUGAUUGGAAAUCAGGACUGUUACUUUGAAAAAAUUAGAGUGUUUAAAGCAGGCUAACGUCUGAAUACAUUAGCAUGGAAUAAUGAAAUAGGACGGAUUGAUUCUAUUUCGUUGGUUUCUAGGGUCACCGUAAUGAUUAAUAGGGAUAGUUGGGGGCAUUAGUAUUCAAUUGUCAGAGGUGAAAUUCUUGGAUUUAUUGAAGACUAACUACUGCGAAAGCAUUUGCCAAGGAUGUUUUCAUUAAUCAAGAACGAAAGUUAGGGGAUCGAAGACGAUCAGAUACCGUCGUAGUCUUAACCAUAAACUAUGCCGACUAGGGAUCGGACGCAGUUAAUUUUAUAAUGACGUGUUCGGCACCUUACG